UAGUUAGAAUGUGUAGUGUAGCGGUGAAAUGCAUAGAUAUUACACAGAAUACCGAUUGCGAAGGCAGAUUACUAACAAUAUACUGACGCUGAGGGACGAAAGCGUGGGUAGCGAACAGGAUUAGAUACCCUGGUAGUCCACGCCGUAAACGAUGGAUACUAGCUGUUCGACCAACAUUGGUUGGUUGAGUGGCUAAGCGAAAGUGAUAAGUAUCCCACCUGGGGAGUACGCUCGCAGAGUGAAACUCAAG
rnacentral:rRNA from 1 species